rnacentral:rRNA from 1 species
AACGAACGCUGGCGGCAUGCCUAACACAUGCAAGUCGAACGAAGCCUUCGGGCUUAGUGGCGCACGGGUGCGUAACGCGUGGGAAUCUGCCCUGGGGUUCGGAAUAACAGUUAGAAAUGACUGCUACUACCGGAUGAUGUCUUCGGACCAAAGAUUUAUCGCCCAAGGAUGAGCCCGCGUAGGAUUAGGUAGUUGGUGGGGUAAUGGCCCACCAAGCCGACGAUCCUUAGCUGGUCUGAGAGGAUGAUCAGCCACACUGGGACUGAGACACGGCCCAGACUCCUACGGGAGGCAGCAGUGGGGAAUAUUGGACAAUGGGCGAAAGCCUGAUCCAGCAAUGCCGCGUGAGUGAUGAAGUCCUUAGGGUUGUAAAGCUCUUUUACCAGGGAUGAUAAUGACAGUACCUGGAGAAUAAGCUCCGGCUAACUCCGUGCCAGCAGCCGCCGUAA